rnacentral:ncRNA from 1 species
CGACCUGAGCUCAGGCAAGAUUACCCGCUGAACUUAAGCAUAUCAAUAAGCGGAGGAAAAGAAACUAACAAGGAUUCCCCUAGUAACGGCGAGCGAACCGGGAAUAGCCCAACUUGAAAAUCUCCCUUUGGAGAAUUGUAGUCUAGAGAAGCGCUUUCUAGGGCUGGCGGAACUCAAGUCGGAUCGAAUGCCGCGUCAGAGAGGGUGAUAACCCCGUCGGUUCCUGCUUAGUCCUUCCACGAAGUGCUUUCCACGAGUCGGGUUGUUUGGGAAUGCAGCCCUAAUUUGGAGGUAAAUCCCUUCUAAGGCUAAAUACUGCCGAGAGACCGAUAGCGAACAAGUACCGUGAGGGAAAGAUGAAAAGAACUUUGAAAAGAGAGUUAAAAGUGCUUGAAAUUGUUGAGAGGGAAGCGAUUGGCGCUCGUAGGUGCGCCCAGGCUUAAGCGGUCCUAACGGC